CCUACGGGAGGCAGCAGUGGGGAAUAUUGCACAAUGGGGGAAACCCUGAUGCAAGCGACGCCGCGUGAGUGAAGAAGUAUUUCGGUAUGUAAAGCUCUAUCAGCAGGGAAGAAAAUGACGGUACCUGACUAAGAAGCACCGGCUAAAUACGUGCCAGCAGCCGCGGUAAUACGUAUGGUGCCAGCUACCGCGGUAAU
rnacentral:rRNA from 1 species